GAUGAACGCUGGCGGCGUGCUUAACACAUGCAAGUCGAACGGAAAGGCCAGUGCUUGCACUGGUGCUCGAGUGGCGAACGGGUGAGUAACACGUGGGUGAUCUGCCCUGCACUUUGGGAUAAGCCUGGGAAACUGGGUCUAAUACCAGAUAGGACCAUGCUUUGGAUGGUGUGGUGGAAAGUUUUUUCGGUGUGGGAUGAGCUUGCGGCCUAUCAGCUUGUUGGUGGGGUAAUGGCCUACCAAGGCGUCGACGGGUAGCCGGCCUGAGAGGGUGUACGGCCACAUUGGGACUGAGAUACGGCCCAGACUCCUACGGGAGGCAGCAGUGGGGAAUAUUGCACAAUGGGCGCAAGCCUGAUGCAGCGACGCCGCGUGGGGGAUGACGGCCUUCGGGUUGUAAACUCCUUUCGCAACUGGCGAAGCUUUUUGUGACGGUAGGUUGAGAAGAAGCACCGGCUAACUACGUG
rnacentral:rRNA from 1 species